rnacentral:rRNA from 1 species
CCCUUAGAUGUCCUGGGCCGCACGCGCGCUACAAUGACUCACUCAGAAAGUUUUUCCUGAUCCGGAAGGAUUCGGGUAAUCUUCAUAGCAUGAGUCGUGUUAGGGAUCGAUCUUUGCAAUUAUAGAUCUUGAACGAGGAAUGCCUAGUAAGUGCAGCUCAUCGGGCUGUACUGAUUACGUCCCUGCCCUUUGUACACACCGCCCGUCGCUCCUACCGAUUGAGUGGUCCGGUGAACCUUCUGGAUUAAGCAGCAAUGCUUGAGAAGUUAGGUAAACCUUAUCACUUAGAGGAAGGAGAAGUCGUAACA